rnacentral:rRNA from 1 species
AUCGAUGAAGAACGCAGCGAAAUGCGAUAAGUAAUGUGAAUUGCAGAAUUCAGUGAAUCAUCGAAUCUUUGAACGCACCUUGCGCCCCUYGGUUAUUCCUUGGAGCAUGCCUGUUUGAGUAUCAUGAACACCUCAACUCUCACGGUCUUCCGUGAUGAGCUUGGACUUUGGGGGUUUGCUGGCCCUGCGGCCGGCUCCUCUCAAAUGAAUCAGCUUGCCAGUGUUUGGUGGCAUCACGGGUGUGAUAACUAUCUACGCUCGCGGUCGUCUGCCAGGUAACCCUCAGCAAUGAAGGUUCAUUGGAGCUCAYAAACGUCUCUCCUCGGYGAGGACAACUUUUGAACGUUCGAUCUCAAAUCAGGUAGGAUUACCCGCUGAACUUAAGCAUAUCAAUAAGCGGAGGAAAAGAAACUAACAAGGAUUCCCCUAGUAACUGCGAGUGAAGCGGGAAGAGCUCAAAUUUAAAAUCUGGCGUGCCUCUGGUCGUCCGAAUUGUAGUCUGGAGAAGCGUUUUCCGUGUCGGACCGUGUAUAAGUCUCUUGGAACAGGGCGUCAUAGAGGGUGAGAAUYCCGUCUUUGACACGGACUACCGAUGCUUUGUGAUGCGCUCUCAAAGAGUCGAGUUGUUUGGGAAUGCAGCUCAAAAUGGGUGGUAAAUUCCAUCUAAAGCUAAAUAUAGGCGAGAGACCGAUAGCGAACAAGUACCGUGAGGGAAAGAUGAAAAGCACUUUGGAAAGAGAGUUAAACAGUACGUGAAAUUGCUGAAAGGGAAACGCUUGAAGUCAGUCGUGUCUGCCAGGACUCAGCCUCGCUUCUGCUUGGUGCACUUUCUGGUCGGAUGGGCCAACGUCAAUUUCGACCGUCGGAGAAAGGCUUUGGGARUGUGGCACUUUCGGGUGUGUUAUAGCCCUUUGUCGUAUGCGGCGGUUGGGAUUGAGGACUGCAGCACGCCUUUAUGGCCGGGGUUCGCCCACGUACGUGCUUAGGAUGUUGGCAUAAUGGCUUUAAGCGACCCGUCUUGAAACACGG